rnacentral:rRNA from 2 species
UCGAGAAUCAUUCACAAUGGGGGAAACCCUGAUGGUGCGACGCCGCGUGGGGGAAUGAAGGUCUUCGGAUUGUAAACCCCUGUCAUGUGGGAGCAAAUUAAAAAGAUAGUACCACAAGAGGAAGAGACGGCUAACUCUGUGCCAGCAGCCGCGGUAAUACAGAGGUCUCAAGCGUUGUUCGGAAUCACUGGGCGUAAAGCGUGCGUAGGCUGUUUCGUAAGUCGUGUGUGAAAGGCGCGGGCUCAACCCGCGGACGGCACAUGAUACUGCGAGACUAGAGUAAUGGAGGGGGAACCGGAAUUCUCGGUGUAGCAGUGAAAUGCGUAGAUAUCGAGAGGAACACUCGUGGCGAAGGCGGGUUCCUGGACAUUAACUGACGCUGAGGCACGAAGGCCAGGGGAGCGAAAGGGAUUAGAUACCCCUGUAGUCCUGGCAGUAAACGGUGCACGCUUGGUGUGCGGGGAAUCGACCCCCUGCGUGCCGGAGCUAACGCGUUAAGCGUGCCGCCUGGGGAGUACGGUCGCAAGAUUAAAACUCAAAGAAAUUGACGGGGACCCGCACAAGCGGUGGAGUAUGUGGCUUAAUUCGAUGCAACGCGAAGAACCUUACCUGGGCUUGACAUGUAAUGAACAACAUGUGAAAGCAUGCGACUCUUCGGAGGCGUUACACAGGUGCUGCAUGGCCGUCGUCAGCUCGUGUCGUGAGAUGUUUGGUUAAGUCCAGCAACGAGCGCAACCCCUGUUGCCAGUUACCAGCACGUGAAGGUGGGGACUCUGGCGAGACUGCCCAGAUCAACUGGGAGGAAGGUGGGGACGACGUCAGGUCAGUAUGGCCCUUAUGCCCAGGGCUGCACACGUACUACAAUGCCCAGUACAGAGGGGGCCGAAGCCGCGAGGCGGAGGAAAUCCUAAAAACUGGGCCCAGUUCGGACUGUAGGCUGCAACCCGCCUACACGAAGCCGGAAUCGCUAGUAAUGGCGCAUCAGCUACGGCGCCGUGAAUACGUUCCC